rnacentral:lncRNA from 1 species
UUCAACAGGAAGAGUUUAGUAGUUUAGAAGCAGCGCUUCCUGAUACCGAUGUGUUGUACAUGACCCGUAUUCAGAAGGAGAGAUUUGCAACUCUUGAAGAUUAUGAACGGGCAUGUGGCCACUUCAUUGUUACUCCUCAUUUGAUGACACGUGCCAAGCGUCGUAUGAUUGUCCUCCAUCCCCUGCCCAGGAACCAAGAAAUAUCUCCAGAACUUGACACAGACCCCCGAGCAGCCUAUUUUCGUCAGGCUGAGGGUGGAAUGUAUGUAAGAAUGGCCCUCCUUGCCAUGGUUCUUGGAAAGUGUUAAUCAUUUUUAAUGUGUUGUUCGGGAAAUACGAUAAAUUGAUUGGCGUUAAGUUUAACAGGAAAUACCAUUAAAGUGGAAAAUUUCACAAUCACUUUAUGCAGUAUUUAUGCAGUAUUAAUAGUCUUUUUAUAUCUGAAACAAAGGUAAAAUUAUUUCAGUCUGUUGGUAGUCAGACAAAGUGAAGAAAGUUUCAAAAGAGUAGCUGAAAAAGGAUAUAACUUCAGGCUAUCUUUGCCGAAGGCUUUACUAUCUCCCAUCAAUCAACUCAUAAAAGAUGAAAUGAUUAAAUUAAAGAGGCUGUUAUAUAGGUACUCAGUGAAACUUAGAAUGGCAUAAACAGAUUUAUUUAGAGAACAGGCUGCACAUAUUCUAAUCUAUCUUGUAAAGUAUACCAAAAAAGUGUUUGAGUUGUUGAAAGUCUUGUCUAAUUUUGCUAAUUGAAACAAUUAAAUGUUUACAAAGGUUGUACUUAUACGGUUAAACUAUACUAAUAAUCCCUUAUGGAAUAUAGGUACAGACCCUCAAAACCGGAUCCCAGAAAACCGGAGAUUCUCGAAACCAGAUCCCAGAAAACCGGAGGUUCUCGAAACCUGGACAUUUCUUCCUUGGGAUUGGUUAAAUAUUCUUCCUCUGUUAAAUCAAGAUUUGUUUCCACAGACAGAUUCAGUUGAAUGUUUGUUUUACUUAUUUAAUAACAAAAUAAGAAAGACAGCUUUGCAAACAUACUCUAAGAAAAAUAAAUACUGUCUAUUCAGAAGUUAAGAGUUCCUAAAAAGCCAGUUAAAUAGCCUAGGUUUGUUUACAUCUCAAAACGGACAGCAGCUUUUGUCAGGAAACAUUUUCCACAAGUAGAAAUAAUUACUGUCUGAUUUGAAUAAACAGCCCAAUACCUUGAAUAUUUUUAUAUUAAUUUAUAUUUAUAGAAUAUUAUGGUUGUUCUUACUGUGUUUAUUGGUAAAAUUAGACGAAAAAUUUGAGGCAGCAUCUGGCAUAAGUUAUCUCAAAUCUUUGGUUAAUUUUAUCAAUAUUAACUCCAAAUAAAAAAUAUAAAUCAAUGUAGUAGGGCUAUUUAUUCAAUGGAAGAAUAAUAAUUUAUGGACUCAACACAAGAUAUGUCUUGACACAUUAGAAACAGCUGUAACUCCAAUAACUAUUUUAGGGAUCUCUCAACUUAGAGAUAGACUGGCUUUAAGGUUUAUUUUUUUCAGAUAUGUAUGCAAUGCUGUUUUCUUUAUUUUUUUAAUUAAGUUCAACAAACCUACAACCUAAUUGUGUGCAGAAGCAAACAAAUCUUGAGGUAGUCUACUGAAUGACUCGGGACCCAGGAAACUGGAAAAUCUGUAAACACGGUUGGCUUUGGUCCCUAGGGUCCCAGAUUUGAGGGUCUAAACCUGUUGUACAGUACAGUACUGUUUUUGUGAAGGCUAUACUGUAUAUUGUUGACCCUUCAUUUUGAGAGCUUGUAUCAUAUUAAACACAUACUCACCA